CUCCCCAGCUCCAACACUGCUCUAAUUAAAGUGAUUAUGACAUUUCAGGACUCCCCUUUUCUUUAUGCAUGCUACCUAGGACUCCCCUUUUCUUUAUGCAUGCUACCUAGAUAAUACAUCUUAAUUUAACAUUGAUUAUUAGUGCUGAUAUUACAGCGCCCGCUGAAUUUCCAUUAGCCUUUGAUGGUGACAGAUAUUAGACCUCUGCACCACCUUACGCAACACUGUGUAACCGAGCUCUGCCUCCAGCUUUUCCAGAUAAUAAAACCCAGGUGAAAUCCUCCCCCAUGCAUCAGUAGAUCCUGCCUGUGCCAUGAAGCGGGGUCCCGCGGGUCGGGGCAGAGAGGCGGAGCGGGCAGGAGCAUCCCGGGCGGAGCGGUGCCCGCAUCCCGGGCGGAGCGGGCAGGAGCAUCCCGGGCGGGCAGAGGCGAGCCCCGCUCGGGCACGCAGCCUGACACCCUGCCUUCCUGCCGAGGGACAGGAGCCUGCCGCUGGCCAAGCGUCUGCCGAGGUUUAUGCCGCCGGCAGAGCGUGCAUGACAGCUUUAUUAAUGCCGAGCGUUUUGGGCUUGGUUCACCUCCGCGUUCCCGCAUGGCCGUGCCAAGGUAGCGCCGCACAAAGGGCAGUUAUAAUAUUGUGGCACAGUACUUUAUUUAAAGAAAAUAUCCAGCAUGACAUUAAGGUGCAAAACAAAGAGACUGGAGAGAAGGACAUCCUUGGCUUUUUACCAAUCAAAAGGAAUGAAACUUUGUUAAAAAAUAUGAAGACAUUUCUGAAGAAUGGGGUAUAUUAA
rnacentral:lncRNA from 1 species